rnacentral:lncRNA from 1 species
UUUCCUUGUAUUCCAGGAAACUGACAGUAGGGAUACACUUUGGGAACUUGGGAGCAGUUUGCAAAACAAUACAUGGGUCUUGUGUGCAUGAAGCAUUUCUUUUGUAAACCUGAUCUACAAUGUACACCCAUUUUGCAGAUGAAGAAUCUGAAGAAAACAGGAUUAAGG